rnacentral:rRNA from 1 species
GAUGAACGCUGGCGGCGUGCCUAAUACAUGCAAGUCGAGCGAACAGACGAGGAGCUUGCUCCUCUGACGUUAGCGGCGGACGGGUGAGUAACACGUGGAUAACCUACCUAUAAGACUGGGAUAACUUCGGGAAACCGGAGCUAAUACCGGAUAAUAUAUUGAACCGCAUGGUUCAAUAGUGAAAGACGGUUUUGCUGUCACUUAUAGAUGGAUCCGCGCCGCAUUAGCUAGUUGGUAAGGUAACGGCUUACCAAGGCAACGAUGCGUAGCCGACCUGAGAGGGUGAUCGGCCACACUGGAACUGAGACACGGUCCAGACUCCUACGGGAGGCAGCAGUAGGGAAUCUUCCGCAAGGGGCGAAAGCUUGACGGAGCAACGCCGCGUGAGUGAUGAAGGUCGUCGGAUCGUAAAACUCUGUUAUUAGGGAAGAACAAAUGUGUAAGUAACUAUGCACGUCUUGACGGUACCUAAUCAGAAAGCCACGGCUAACUACGUGC